UACAGAGGUCUCAAGCGUUGUUCGGAUUCAUUGGGCGUAAAGGGUGCGUAGGCGGCGCGGUAAGUCGGGUGUGAAAUCUCGGAGCUUAACUCCGAAACUGCAUUCGAUACUGCCGUGCUUGAGGACUGGAGAGGAGACUGGAAUUUACGGUGUAGCGGUGAAAUGCGUAGAUAUCGUAAGGAAGACCAGUGGCGAAGGCGGGUCUCUGGACCGAGACUGACGCUGAGGCGCGAAAGCGUGGGGAGCAAACAGG
rnacentral:rRNA from 1 species